rnacentral:tRNA from 1 species
GGGGUUGUCACUCAGUGGUAGAGUGCUCGCCUGGCAAAUGUGAGGCCCUGGGUUCAAUCCUCAGCACCA